CAAGCGGUGGAUGAUGUGGUUUAAUUCGAUGCAACGCGAAAAACCUUACCUACCCUUGACAUGCCAGGAAUUCUGCAGAGAUGUGGAAGUGCUCGAAAGAGAACCUGGACACAGGUGCUGCAUGGCCGUCGUCAGCUCGUGUCGUGAGAUGUUGGGUUAAGUCCCGCAACGAGCGCAACCCUUGUCAUUAGUUGCUACGAAAGGGCACUCUAAUGAGACUGCCGGUGACAAACCGGAGGAAGGUGGGGAUGACGUCAGGUCCUCAUGGCCCUUAUGGGUAGGGCUACACACGUCAUACAAUGGCCGGUACAGAGGGUUGCCAACCCGCGAGGGGGAGCUAAUCUCAGAAAACCGGUCGUAGUCCGGAUCGUAGUCUGCAACUCGACUGCGUGAAGUCGGAAUCGCUAGUAAUCGCGGAUCAGCUUGCCGCGGUGAAUACGUUCCCGGGUCUUGUACACACCGCCCGUCACACCAUGGGAGCGGGUCCUGCCAGAAGCAGUUAGCCUAACCGCAAGGAGGGCGAUUACCACGGCAGGGUUCGUGACUGG
rnacentral:rRNA from 1 species